rnacentral:lncRNA from 1 species
UGUGAGACUUUCGUCUUAUUUUUUUUAAUGUAUUCUGAGCACUUUUCUUUUAUAUUGUGAAAGAUAGAGGGUAUUAUCAGAUGAAUAUAUUAUUCAUUUGAUUAAAAUUAUUUAGAUAAGAAAUUAUUACUGUUUAUGUUUACUUUCAAACUGCUUAUUCUAAUUUUUAUCCAUUUUUCAAAUAUCAUUUGUAUAUGACUUCUUAUGUAUGGGAAUUUAUUAUGUAAAUGAACCUUUUCAGAUUUCUGGACAGUCUAUGGUUUGAUUUUAUAGGGUUUUUUUUUUUAGUAGGAUAAAGAUGAGAAAGAUGAUCAGUUACUUAAAAUGUAUCUAUUGUUGCUUACUUUAAAGAAGGAAAUAAAUAGAAACAAUUGGGAAAUGUUUGAAUUAGAAGUCACUCAAAUGUAUGUUAUUUUCCAAAAGAGAACCAGCCCUUCGGCAGUGCAGUUUCCAGAUUUGGGCCUUUCCACUGCACUGUCUUACCUGUAGAACAAAGAGAAGCAGAAGUCUUCCUGAAUGCUUUAUGAGACAAGACACAAACUCGUUAAAGAAGGAGUCCUCGAUCCAUUCUCCAGGCUGUUUUGUGAGCCUCACCAUCAAGCACAACACUUCACACAAUGGAUAUGAAAGGCAGAUGUUUAAGUGAAGGCUCUUUUGAGCAAAAAAGAAGGACUACCAGUCAUCAAAGAAUUCCAGAAGGCACAGUUCCUCGAGUCCAGACAAGACCAGCAAAUAAAACCAAAUUCCAGCGAGCUAGUAUUACCUGAUGUUCGUUAGUCUGGGGUGGGGGGGAUCAGAAUAGAAGUUUUCUUUAGAACUUAAUUAGAUUGGGAUGGUCGAUCUGCUCCUUAAGGAGGGGUGGGGGAAGCUGAGCAUUUAACAUUAGAGCAAAGAUCUUUUUCCCCAGGUCUCUGUAAGAGGACCCCCAACCCUAUCAAAAUGUGCGAUAAGGAAGUUACAUGUGUCAUUUUGAACUAGUUCAAACCAGCUAGGCUGCUCCCUGCUCUGAGCUGCUGGCUAUUAGCUGUCAUCCAGCCUGGAUGUGAGACAAGCAGGUGGAUAAGAG